rnacentral:rRNA from 1 species
CAGCAGCCGCGGGAAUACGAAGGGUGCAAGCGUUACUCGGAAUUACUGGGCGUAAAGCGUGCGUAGGUGGUGGUUUAAGUCCGUUGUGAAAGCCCCGGGCUCAACCUGGGAAUUGCAGUGGAUACUGGGUCACUAGAGUGUGGUAGAGGAUAGUGGAAUUUCCGGUGUAGCAGUGAAAUGCGUAGAGAUCGGAAGGAACAUCUGUGGCGAAGGCGACUAUCUGGGCCAACACUGACACUGAGGCACGAAAGCGUGGGGAGCAAACAGGAUUAGAUACCCCAGUAGUCCCUGUCUCUUAUAC